GUUGGGAAUAUUGGACAAUGGGGGCAACCCUGAUCCAGCCAUGCCGCGUGUGUGAAGAAGGCCUUCGGGUUGUAAAGCACUUUAAGCGGGGAGGAAGGUUCGCUGGCUAAUAUCCAGCGGAAUUGACGUUACCUGCAGAAUAAGCACCGGCUAACUCUGUGCCAGCAGCCGCGGUAAUACAGAGGGUGCAAGCGUUAAUCGGAAUUACUGGGCGUAAAGCGCGCGUAGGCGGUUGUGUAAGUUGGAGGUGAAAUCCCCGGGCUUAACCUGGGCACUGCCUUAAAAGCUGCACGGCUAGAGUAUGGGAGAGGAAGGUAGAAUUCCAGGUGUAGCGGUGAAAUGCGUAGAGAUCUGGAGGAAUACCGAUGGCGAAGGCAGCCUUCUGGCCUAAUACUGACGCUGAGGUGCGAAAGCAUGGGGAGCAAACAGGAUUAGAUACCCGUGUAGUCC
rnacentral:rRNA from 1 species